rfam:Salmo salar isolate Sally breed double haploid chromosome ssa09, whole genome shotgun sequence.
UGAACUCACUACUGUAAGUUGCUCUGGAUAAGAGCAUCUGCUAAAUUAAAAAAC